UAAGUACAUGUUACUUAGAAAAAGAGAUUUUCUUCUUGUUUCCACAGAAAGUGAAAAGUUGUGUAUUCCUUCCAGACUAAUAUGGUUUGAUGAAGGAAGACCCCUGAAGCAGUGGCCCAGGUGAUUCAACAUCCACGACACCUGGGGCAGUGCAGCCUUGAAGACUACUACAGCCAGGAUUUGGACAGGUUCAUUGUAGUAAUGAAUAUUUUAAAUUCAUCUUGUAUGAGUCAGCUCUGAACUGCUAGCUCUAUGAGAUGCUGGACCAAGCCAAAUAAGCUCAGAAGUACGAGCUUCAUAAGGAUAAAUUGUGAACUUUGAGAGGAGGAAAACAGUGGAAUAAAGAUAAGAGAGACAAAGAUGCAACUGAUACAGUCAUUAAGGGGAUGGCCAUUUCUACUCUGCUGUGGUGCUAAAACCCACAUAAUUCUCAAAUGCUGUCCCAAACUGACUUCUGAUGACACUACUCUGCCACUAAUGGAGAGUGGAAAACCUGCCUAUCCUCAUUUCCAUGUAUAUGAUAGGAACUUGGGAUUAUCAUUUACUAAGGAAUUAUGUGACCAUGUGACCCUGUGACCCCUUACCCAAACUCUUGAGGUUACUCACAAGUAAGAAUUCAUAAUUUCCUAGAAUGCUAGAAAUGGUAUAUUUAUAUGAUAUAACAACUUCAACAAGGAAUGAGAUAGAUGACUUAUAUUAGUCAAACACAUUAAUAUUUCACUAGCAAAAUAUAUGAAUAUAAACACCAAGUAGGAUAAAGGCUAUAAAAUCCUACUUUUGGAUCACGUUGGAGUUUUCCUCUCAGAAGAAAGAGCAUUUGUUUUGAGACAUUAAUGACAAGAUAUCAACUGCCAUGUGAAGAUCAGCAAAAGAAUCAGUCUGGUGGACAGUAAAACUAGGUCAUAUUUGUGAGAUGAGAAUGCACUUGACAUAUGUGGAAGAAAAAAAUCAGACAGUAUAGCUAUAGGGAAGUUGCAAGAUGGAUAGUCACAUGAGGAAAUUACCUUUAGAUCACAGGUCUUGCCCAUGCUAAGCACAAAAAAUAGUUUUGAAGUCUUCAGGCAGGAGAGUAACAAUUUGGACUAACUCUUGUUAAAGUAUUUACUGUCUGGUGUGUGAAGACUAUUGAUGAGAAAAGAGAGACCCAGGGGUGAGCAGAAACCCAGGAGCUAAAGCUAAGGUAGUCUUAAGAACAAAAAAUAAAUUUUGAGGAUGCUGUAGCCAACUGUGCUAAAAACUGAUGAAGAAAUCAGAAAAGAUCACUGGGCUUGGCCUUAAGAAAUUAAUGAUUCCUCAGAUAUAAUCUCAGAUAUAGGAAUGAAGGCCAAAGGUUUCUUAGAAGGAGUUGAAGAAAUGAAGGUAAGCUGUACAAGGGAACAGAGAAGUAAGUCUAUGGCAGGAGAUGUGGGUAAGUGCUGUGGUCUCAAUGCAGACCCAGGUUAGGGGUCAGAUUUGCUUAGAAAACUAGUUAGAGGCAACAGACUAGCUUUGGAAGGAAUUACAUAUCUUGGGCCUGAUAUAAAAUAAUGUGACCAGCCACAGGUGAUAGACUCCAGACCCAGUUGAUGCUGCUAGGACUGCCAAUAAUAAUUUAUGCCAGCUCAAAACUGUGCUGCAGGCUUUCUCUUGUAAAUGUAACUGGGGUUGUGCUAAUUAAAAGCAUUUGGGAAAAUGUCAAUGUCUGAAGACAAAUGCUUCCCAGCUCAUCAAUCCAUGAGGUCAUCUCUUCCCUUGGCCAGUUUUUAUCUGAGGUAAUUUAUCUGUUACUUAAAUUUCCCCAA
ensembl:lincRNA